UUGAAAGUUUUUACUCAUUAGUGGGUGAAAAUCGACUUGAACGAGAACGAGGAGAAGCAGAAACCAAUUCGAAUAAAUUAAAUCUAACGGUUCAUCAAUUUACUUUCGUGUUGGUCGAUAACAACACAAAACCAUAUUCAUCGCCGGAUAACUUCACCUACUGUCACUGUUAAGUUUUGCGAAGAAUCGUCAAGGCAAUCAGGAGACGUACCUCCCGUGAAACCCGGAAUCGGACGAUGAAAAAGGAAUCGUUUUGUUUGCUUCUCGGUUAAAUAUGCGAUUGGGACUGGUAAGCGAAUUCCACCGGACAAAAAAUAUGCCUUUGCCAUCCCAUGGACUCCCAGAGCCGCUGACGUUAAAGAAACCGUCAUGUUUGCUUCCCGUGAGAAUGAACGAUUGGGAAAGAGGAGUGAGCUCGUCAUGUCCUCGGAGGAUUGGUAGUAAACAAAAUAUUGUGAAGAAAUUCCUCGGCAUUGAAUCCCUCCUGAUGUUAGUCACCCAAUCCAGCGGACCCAACCUGUUGUCGAUCGGCGAUAUCUCCGGGAAGCAACUUAGUGGGGUGAUUUUUGUUGCCUAGAAUUACACAAUGCCAUUCAAAAGCGGAACACCGGACGGAAAAUGAUAUCAGAUAGAUUCCGGAAAUUGCCGCUGGUCCGGUUUUGAUAGAUUAUAGGAGCCAAAGUGAAUUGUAUUUUGUUUAUGUGGUGUAAAUAAAUACUAUCAUAUUUCUGCGUAUUAUUAAAAUC